rnacentral:rRNA from 1 species
ACGCUGGCGGCACGCCUAAUACAUGCAAGUCGAACGAAGUAGCAAUACUUAGUGGCAGACGGGUGAGUAACAUGUGGGUAUCUUCCCUUUGGUGAGGAAUAACACGAGGAAACUUGUGCUAAUACCUCAUAAGUCUUUACGGAGAAAGCUUUAUGCGCCAUUGGAUGAGCCCGCACUUGAUUAGUUUGUUGGUAGGGUAAUGGCCUACCAAGACUGUGAUCAAUAGCUGAUUUGAGAGGAUGAUCAGCCACAUUGGGACUGAGACACGGCCCAAACUCCUACGGGAGGCAGCAGUAGGGAAUCUUGCACAAUGGAGGAAACUCUGAUGCAGCGAUGCCGCGUGAGUGAAGAAGGCCUUUGGGUUGUAAAGCUCUUUCGUCGGGGAAGAAAAUGACUGUACCCGAAUAAGAAGGUCCGGCUAACUUCGUGCCAGCAGCCGCGGUAAUACGAAGGGACCUAGCGUAGUUCGGAAUUACUGGGCUUAAAGAGUUCGUAGGUGGUUAAAAUAGUUGGUGGUGAAAUCCCAGAGCUUAACUCUGGAACUGCCAUCAAAACUUUUUAGCUAGAGUAUGAUAGAGGAAAGCAGAAUUUCUAGUGUAGAGGUGAAAUUCGUAGAUAUUAGAAAGAAUACCGAUUGCGAAGGCAGCUUUCUGGAUCAUUACUGACACUGAGGAACGAAAGCAUGGGUAGCGAAGAGGAUUAGAUACCCUCGUAGUCCAUGCCGUAAACGAUGUGUGUUAGACGUUGGAAAUUUAUUUUCAGUGUCGCAGCGAAAGCGAUAAACACACCGCCUGGGGAGUACGACCGCAAGGUUAAAACUCAAAUGAAUUGACGGGGACCCGCACAAGUAGUGGAGCAUGUGGUUUAAUUCGAAGAUACGCGCAGAACCUUACCAACACUUGACAUGUUCGUCGCGACUCUAAGAGAUUAGAGUUUUCGGUUCGGCCGGACGAAACACAGGUGCUGCAUGGCUGUCGUCAGCUCGUGUCGUGAGAUGUUGGGUUAAGUCCCGCAACGAGCGCAACCCUCACUUUUAGUUGCCAUCAUUAAGUUGGGCACUCUGAAAGAACUGCCAGUGAUAAGCUGGAGGAAGGUGGGGAUGACGUCAAGUCCUCAUGGCCCUUACGUGUUGGGCUACACACGUGCUACAAUGGCAUUUACAAUAGGAAGCAAAAUGGCGACAUUAAGCAAAUCCUAAAAAAAUGCCUCAGUUCGGAUUGUACUCUGCAACUCGAGUACAUGAAGCUGGAAUUACUAGUAAUCGCGGAUCAGCGCGCCGCGGUGAAUACGUUCCCGGGUCUUGUACACACCGCCCGUCACACCAUGGGAGUUGGUUCUACCUUAAGGCAAAGUUUAAAACCUUUGACCACGGUAUAGUCAGCGACUGGGGUG